rnacentral:rRNA from 1 species
UACGGAGGGUGCAAGCGUUAUCCGGAUUCACUGGGUUUAAAGGGUGCGUAGGUGGGUUGGUAAGUCCGUGGUGAAAUCUCCGAGCUUAACUCGGAAACUGCCGUGGAUACUAUCAAUCUUGAAUACUGUGGAGGUAAGCGGAAUAUGUCAUGUAGCGGUGAAAUGCUUAGAUAUGACAUAGAACACCGAUAGCGGAGGCAGCUUGCUACACAGUCAUUGACACUGAGGCACGAAAGCAUGGGGAGCGAACAGG